UGUGGCUUGCGUGUUAUUUUCAAGAUGGCUGCUGUCAUUCGACGAGAAUCGACAGCAACUGCAGUCUGCAGAUCCCCAUAGGCACAUACCCUCCAUACCCCUGCAUAGGAAAACUUUUGACAACCACUCAACACAACAAUCCGCCAUUUAGCGUUUUGGAUUUCGGUGUCCAAUAGAUGACAUAGGCGUCGUCGUUUUCAUGUGAUGGAGAAAAGUUUAUGGAAGGAACGGGAAAGGAAACAGUGCAUACAAAUAGCCUACCAUCACUAUACCACCAACUCUUUUAUUAAAAAUCGUCGUUCUGCUGAAUGCAUCAUGCAGUUAAUACAGGUCACUACCCCAGUGUGGACAUAUAUGUUUGUUUUUCUGAACAUAUUUUUCACCAAAUAAUUCAUUGACGUGCAAGGAAAGCUUAAAGCUUACCCAUGGGUAAUCUUCAGGUUAGCAGCAACAGCUUAAGAGAAGAAUGUGAACAAAUGCAGGGCACAUACCAACAUGUGCUGUAUUUUUCUGAAUGUUAAGCACGAGCAGUAGAUUCAACAUGACUAACUGUUUGAUGCCAAAGUUAGUUGGAAUUGGAACUCAACUCACUGUAUGUACUCUAAACAGAUAACUGGUGCGGUUGCCCUACAGCCACAGGCAGGAAAAUCUUUCUUUUUUUUUCAGAAAAUGGGAAAGCUGCUGGAGUAAUCUGGUGUUCAUGCUCAUUAAUUUCAUUUCGUGCCAGCUAGUGAAAGCCGAAAGGCAUGUCGAAUUCAAGUUGAGCUACUGCGUGUUGUCUCGAAGCAAGCAAUCCAGCCGUUGCGUUCAGUCAUUUGGAACAGGAAUCUAAAUUUUCUAAUGGCUGUCAAUAGGUGGCUGUCAAAAGUUGGUUGGAAUGUCCACCAGGUAGCGCGAGUGUCUUCAGGAACGCAUUUCGGCCAUUUUGUUCCAAGACGCAGCAGAAAUGGUUGCUGUUUGCUGGUCAUGACGUUUCUCACGAUGAAAAUUAAAAGGUGAUUUAGCACGUUGAAACCAAUUUGCCAAAUCAUUCAACUGAGACUUGGAAUUGCCUGUACAUUGCCGAAAUGGCGUGCCUCGUGUGUUUCGCUGCCUGUUCUUAGGCGUACGUCUCAUCCCAUGCAACAGUAAAAAGUCUAACAAACACUUCUUAAACGCUGUUGGUUACCUUGUUGCAGCCAAAUGGUGAAAGGUGUGACGAAGACAGAUUGAACCAUUGUAUGCAGCAUGCGGUUGCAGUGUUAUCCAGAACUAGAAGUUGCUGUGCUGUUGUAGCUGAGCUGUUCCAUGCUGUGCGGUUGUAGCUGAGCUGUUCCAUUCAUGACUUAAAAAUUUUUGUGUUUUCAUCCGUGUCCAUAUUUUGUGUUGCUGAGUUAUAAGUGUGAUCUGUUGUCUUUUGAGUUUUCAUUCAAUCAUGCAGUAUACGACUGAGGCAACCUGAUCAAUAUCAAGUUUGACACAGUCGAGAACUGCUAGAUUAAACAAGCUUUCUGCGCCAAACAAAUAAUAACUUGCAUAUAACUUGCAUCAUGUUAUUAUCGCGGUAGAGAAAGCAACAGGCCCCCCCUCCUGGGGGCCACGGGAAAAAUGUGUAAAAUUAUAAAUUUUGUAUUAAUUUUUGUUAUAAAUAAAAUUUGUAUAUAAUAAAAUUUUCAAA